GAUCAACUACUUUAGCCACGUGUCUUGAUUGUAGUAAUACCUUUUGUGACAGUGCAGGUCACCUGAGAGAACACAUCACUGGACACCCUUCUCACCGACAAUAUUACUCCUAUAAGCUCAAGCGUUUGGUAAAAUGCUGCAAAUCUACGUGCAGAGUGACAGACAUCAAGAAUCUUUUAGCUUGUCACUAUUGUUUUGAUAAGGCUUUCGACAAGUUCUACGAUAUGUAUUCUGCAACUUGGAAAGCAGCUGGACUUUCAAUUAUCUGCAAUUCUAUUUGCUGUGAGGAUCACUUUGAAUGGCAC
rnacentral:misc_RNA from 1 species